rnacentral:rRNA from 1 species
GACGAACCGUCCAACCGUUAUUCGGAAUCACUGGGCUUACAGAGUUCGUAGGCGGUCUGGAAAGUUGGGUGUGAAAUCCCUCGGCUCAACCGAGGAACUGCGCUCAAAACUGCCAGACUCGAGGGAGAUAGAGGAAAGCGGAACUGAUGGUGGAGCGGUGAAAUGCGUAGAUAUCGCUUGGAACGCCGACGGCGAAAGCAGUCUGCUGGGGGUGUGCUGACGCUGAGACACGAAAGCCAGGGGAGCGAACGGG